AAUAAUUUUUUCGAUUUAUAAAAUUUAUAAAAUUUAUUUAUAUGUUCGCACCAAUUUAAUUAUAUAAGUAGUAGAUAAUGACUUUUUAAUUAUUCAAUAUAUAUUUAUUAUUUCAUAAUAUGUUAUAAACAUAUAAUAUAUAAAAUAAUAUAUAUAUAUAUAUAUAUAUAUUCAUCCCGCGCAAGGCGCGGAUCUUAACCUAGUGUUAACUAAUAUGGAUUUGCUUAACUAAACAAACUUAUCAAUUACGAAGUACUAGGGAUAUACAAAAGAUACGGUCCAAAAAUAUCUACACAACCUGGUAACAUAAUAUAUUAAUCAGAAAUGAGGUAAUAAUCUGACUCCUACGCAAAAUAAUAUAAUAUAUAAAAUAUUUAUUGAAUAAAUAAGUUUUUGUAAAAGUUAUUUUUUAAAUAAUAACUAAAGAUAUGUGAAAUAUAUAUAUUAUAGUGAACUGAUCAAGUUAAAAUUGUAAAAAUAUUUAGUUUUUAUCAAUUCAAUUCAAGUAUGAUACAUAUUUAAAUCUCAAUAUCUAAUAAAUUAAUUUUCCUACUUAUAUAUUGUUUUAUUUAUAAUCAUUUGUAUUUUAUAACAAGAAUUUUAUAAUAUUGAUCGCAAUUUUUUAUAAUCUGAGACUUUAACAGUUUUAGUAAUUUAUAUUCGUUUUUGAAAAUUUAAAAUAUAACAUAUACAAUUUAUUUUAAUAAUAUAAAUUUGAAACAAAAAUUUUAGAGGAAUUAUUUUUUAUAAAACCUUUAUUAUUCAAAUUAUUCAAUAUCAUUAAUUUAAUAUAUAUGUUUUAAAUCAUAUUAGAUAAUUCCAUAUAUUUUACUUAAGUGAUUUUUUGUAGAUUAUUAAUUAAUUUUGUAGUUAGUUUAAUGAAAAAUAUAAUAUAUGUUUAAAAUUUAAACCAAAUAAUGAAUGUCAUGUAACUAUUCUAUUAAUUUAAAUAUAUUUUUAAAAUAAUUCUAAGAAUCAAUUAAUUGAUGACACAUACACAUAUUGAAAUACUUCUCAAAUAUGUAUAAUCAGACAUGGUCCCACAAGGUGUGGAAAUAAUUUAUACCCAACAAAUUUUAAUGUUAAUUUUUAUUUAAAUAUAAAUUAGUAUAUUACAUAUAAAUUUUAAAUUAAUAUUAUAAAUUAUAUAACUUUGCUAUCCAACAACUGAUGAUAUAUAAAAAUAGAUAAUAUUAUAAACGUAAUAUAUAAUAUUCAUGAACAAAAAUCAAGGCAGACUUGUAGGGUUUUAGUUAAUAUUUUUGUUUACUGGAUUUUUUUUUUUGAAUUGCAAGCGUAAGUGGAUAUCUGUUGCUUUGGAUUAUUGAAACCUCAUAGUGUAUCGAUCACCUUCCAGGAGUAGGAGAGCUGAUCGAACGAUGAAGCUGCCGCUUACGUUUGACCAAACCGCCGGUUGUAGAGAAUCAGAGAUCGCCAUAAAGUGAAUAUAGUAGUCAGUUUAUAUAAAUUCUUUAGUUGGUUAGUUUCAAAUUCUCUAUUUUGAUGAAUAAAUGCAUGUUUCGUAUUUUGAUGAGUAUAGCUAUAUCGGUUUUGUGAGUCUGUGGUCUUGUUUCAAAAGGCGGUGUUGUUCAUGUCCUGCUUUGUUUUCGUUUUCUAUGAAAAACUUUUCUGCUUUAGAAUUAUUUUGCUACAGUUGAUUUCUGCAUACUAGAGAAAUUGUUACAAAUAUUACCAAGAUGUGCACAAUUUGUAAAGAUUUACCGAAACGACAUGUUCGAACCGAAUCAAAUCUCAACAAUCGGUAUAGAAAAAUAUAUGGAUAAUAGAAAAGAGAAUAGACUACUUUCGAAAAUGAAUAGUAUUCUUAUUCUUUGAUUUAGAGGUAACAGAUCGUGAAUUUUUUUUUUCUUCCUAUUUUGGAUAUUUGAAAGAAAUGAAUAUAAAUUUAAGUUUCUAAGUUAGAGAAAAAGUCAAGAACAACUAGCCCAUACCAGAAGGCAUAAGCAUCAAUUCAAAGGACCAUAACUAUGACACAAAGCGCUAAGACCAGGAGGAUGGACCACAAGACUUCAUAGCUAUCUCUAUUAAAUAAUAGUUUCUACAUGUGGAGAUUCUGAUAACCACCAAUUAAAUACGAUAUAUAUAAAAAUUUAUAAAAUGGACCGACAAAGAAACAAAUAUUAUCUUAAUGACCAGAAAAUGGUCCAUUAAGAGGAACAUAUUCCGGUCAUGGAGAAUACAAAGUGACCAUAUUUAGCCCAUACAGAAAAGAUUCAUUAUAGAAAUCAAGGCAAAAUAUUCCUUCUCAAGGGUUAUAAAAAGAGGGCAAAUGGAUGUGAGUAAUGAGUACAAACACAGACAGUAGUGAAGUGUCUAAUGAGAAAUAGAGGUCUAACAUGGCGAAAAGAGUCAUGUUUAGUAGCCAAGGAUGACUUGCCUGCUCUUUUUCACCUCCAUGAUUCAAUUUUAAGUUGAUGGUUUUGGAUUAAUAUGCAUUGAUGAAGUAUAAUAAUUCAAAAAUCAUAUUGAAUCUUUGUGGGUUAGAUUUCAGGCAGUCUCCUUGGCUAUUUUGACAUGCUUUUUUCAUCCAUGUUAUACCUAUUUUUCUUUCUAUCUUUUUUGAAUCCACAAAAAAAUUAAUAUAAAUUUACUUCCAAAUUAAUCGUUUGAUCCAUCUUUGAUGAAGCUUUAUACGAAAAUACAUUUGCUACAAAUAUCUUAUUGUUUAUUUUAUUAAUUAUAUUAAAUUUAGAUAAUUUUUAUUGUUUUACGGUUUUAUGGUUUAUAUAUAUAUAUAUACUUCUUAUGCUUAAGUUUGUAUUCAUUUUAUAAUUUAACUAAUAAAAAUUAAAAGUUUUCUCUUUGUUCUUUGUUUUCGGUAAAUCUAUAAAAAUCGCAACGAAUUUAAAAAGACAUUGACUCUUAAGUAUUAUUAGAUUAAAUAAGAUUUUUUGUGUUAUCCUAGUUUCAUGUGGUAUCAGAGCCAGAUUAUUAUUUUAACUGAUGUAGCUUUGAUACUAACUGAUAUAGGUCACACUAUGAUAACACGAUGAUCCUAUUUAGUCUGAUAAUUCUUAAGAUCAGAGUCUUCUUGUGAUUGUUGAGAACACCUAUGUUCUAACCGAUUGUAAGGAUUAAAAAAACAAAGUUCUAUAAAUUAAUAAUCAAAAUAUUACGUACCCAUACAAGUCAAUGGAACUUUUCUUUAUAUAAGCUAAAUAAAAACCCUAUUCCUUAUAAGAAAAUGAAUUAUAAACUGCGAUUACAUGAAAAAAGAUAACACCAAAAGAAAAAAGGAAAACCAAAGCCCAUAAGUAAUAUGAUCCACGCUGCAUCAGUGACUGAGUGGAGGCAUCGUCUAGAAGGAGAUGUCAAAGAUGAAUAGGAGAAUCAUAUUUGGUAGCCAAGGAUGACUUGCCUACUUCUUUGAGAAUUAAGAUGGUCAUGGUAUCAUGUUUGAAAGAUGAAUUUAUAUAGGUUAUCUCAACUAAUGAUCUUGCUUAUAAAGAUAUUAGGCAGUCUCCUUGGCUGCCCUUAUAUGUUCUUCUCUCUCAUCUCAGACAUUAACCUUCAUCCAAAUAAGAGAGACACGACAUGAAAGAUCAUGUAAAGGUAUGCCAAGAUCAGUAUAUCUUAUGUAGUUUACAACAAAAGUUUUAUGAAUAUACAUCAAUACAUGUAACGUUGUAUGAGCGAGUGAUGACCCUUUACAAACAGUUUAAGAAUCAUACUUUCCAUAGAUCAUAUUUGAUGUUAACUAUUGGUGAUUUGGCGGGCAAUAGAAGUCUACAUAGAUGGUUUCAGAUCAUUCAGUUCUUGGCAAAUGGUCUACAUGAGAGAAAUCUGACAUUUCUACUGAGGUAUAGCUUCCAAGUAGUGCUAUAUGCAGUUUGGCAUGAGAGAAAUGUGAGAAGGGUUGGUGAAACAUCUCAGCCAGCAGCUUGUUUGAUUGCAAGAUUAGACAGGUUGGUUAGGAAUAGAAUCACAUCAUUGAGAAGGAAAAAUGGCAGAAAGUAUGAGAAGACCAUGGAAGUGUGGUUUGGAAGAAGAUAGAGUUUGAGUUUAUGAAAUUUUUUAAAGUUUAAUCUAUAAGUCUGAUGUAUAGAAAAGGAAGCAGAUUUUUCUGUAAACAGGUUUUUUUUUUAUUUGAAUAAAUUUAAAAUUCUUUCAAAAAAAAAAAAAAGAUGUUAUCUUGUCAUAUGUCGAUUGUAAUUGUUUAUCCGCAGAGAUUGGGUCGGAAAAUUUGGACCUCAAGUCUCAGUGAUAUCGAUUAUUGUUACGUUUGUGUAUGUAAUCGCACCUCCAUCAAAGAGAAGCAAGAAGAACGUUGAGAUUAAGAUCUUUUUUUUUAACUGAGAUUUAGCUUUUGAUCUGGCCAUUAUUUUUUCAUGUUAGCAAAAAGAUAUUAUAUUCUUCUUCUUUUGGAGCCUUUCUCAUUUGUAGUUUACUUCUGUCAUUCUGUGUAUCUUCCGAAUCAGAACAAAUAAUAGCACAACCCUUUAGUC